rnacentral:rRNA from 1 species
UACGUAGGGUGCAAGCGUUACUCGGAAUUACUGGGCGUAAAGCGUGCGCAGGCGGUUGUGCAAGACAGAUGUGAAAUCCCCGGGCUCAACCUGGGAAUUGCAUUUGUGACUGCACGGCUAGAGUGUGUCAGAGGGGGGUAGAAUUCCACGUGUAGCAGUGAAAUGCGUAGAGAUGUGGAGGAACACCGAUGGCGAAGGCAGCCCCCUGGGUUAACACUGACGCUCAGGCACGAAAGCGUGGGGAGCAAACAGG